rnacentral:rRNA from 1 species
UUGACCUCAAAUCAGGUAGGACUACCCGCUGAACUUAAGCAUAUCAAUAAGCGGAGGAAAAGAAACUAACAAGGAUUCCCCUAGUAACUGCGAGUGAAGCGGGAAAAGCUCAAAUUUGAAAUCUGACAGAGUAUUGUCUGUCCGAGUUGUAACCUAGAGAAGUGUGACCUGUGCUG